CUCGGGUACUCGAGCCUCUCGGCUGCUCCCGGUCGCCCAGCGGGGGAGCCGGGUCGGAGGGGCCGGGACGGCCGAGAAGCUCGUCUGCGCCCCCCCCUUGGUGCUACGGGGCUUUGGAGAAGACCCCCGAUCUCCAGCCCCUUCCCUCAAAGCUGUGAGCCGUGGUCCGGUUCCGGGGCAGCCCAUCCUCGUGUUCCCCAUUUGUAGAAUGGGGGUCCCCAGCCCCUACGUCAGAGACAGGAAAAUAUUCAGAAACCUUCGAACAGUGUGGACUCCGGGAAGGACACGAAGGCCCGGAAACAUGAAGUGGCCGCCCAAGGGGCUCAGCUAGUGCCCGGCAGGACGAGAAGGGCAAGGUGCCCACCUGGGGUAACCCGCACUGCAGGAUCUGGGCUGGGGUGCGCUUUUGUGCCUUGUCAGGAGUGAGCGGGUUGUGUUUAAAUUUGGGGAGUCGAGGAGGGGAAUUAAGUUUUAAAUGAAUUGCCCAGACGGCGGGGCUCAGUGGUUGAGUGUCACCUCGGAACUAGGAGGUCAGGGCACACGCUGGGGUUUCCGGGCUGGAUCCCCGUGUGGGGCGUGCAGAAGCAGCCCAUCAAUGAUUCUCUCUCAUCAUUGAUGUUUCUAUCUCUCUCUCCCUCUCCCUUCCUCUCUGAAAUCCAUGAAAAUACAUUUUUAAACAUUUUUAAGUGAAUGAAUGUUGGGAGUGGAGAGAAGUGAGGACAAGAAGUAGCACCAUCAGGACUUACAGUUAUACCUCGGAGAUAUUGUGGACUUGGUUCCUUACUAUUGCAAUAAAGUGAGUCACACGAA